AUUGAACGCUGGCGGCAGGCCUAACACAUGCAAGUCGAGCGAGCGGCGGGCGGGUGAGUAAUGUAGGGGAACUGCCCGAUAGAUGGGGAUCACUACUGGAAACGGUAGCUAAUACGGUGUACUAUCGGAUAACCCAUGUGGGAUUAGCUAGUAGGUGAGGUAAUUGCUCACCUAGGCGACGAGCCCUAGCUGGUCUGAGAGGAUGAUCCGCCAAACUGGGACGGAGACACGGCCCAGACUCCUACGGAGGCAGCAGUGGGGAAUAUUGCACAAUGGGCGAAAGCCGGAUGCAGCCAUGCCGCGUGUAUGAAGAAGGCCCUAGGGUUGUAAAGUACUUUCAGUCGGGAGGCGUUACCGACAGAAGAAGCACCGGCUAACUCCGUGCCAGCAGCCGCGGUAAUUC
rnacentral:rRNA from 1 species